rnacentral:rRNA from 1 species
AUUGAACGCUGGCGGCAGGCCUAACACAUGCGAGUCGAGCGGAUGAAGGGAGCUUGCUCCUGGAUUCAGCGGCGGACGGGUGAGUAAUGCCUAGGAAUCUGCCUGGUAGUGGGGGAUAACGUCCGGAAACGGGCGCUAAUACCGUAUACGUCCUGAGGGAGAAAGUGGGGGAUCUUCGGACCUCACGCUAUCAGAUGAGCCUAGGUCGGAUUAGCUAGUUGGUGGGGUAAAGGCCUACCAAGGCGACGAUCCGUAACUGGUCUGAGAGGAUGAUCAGUCACACUGGAACUGAGACACGGUCCAGACUCCUACGGGAGGCAGCAGUGGGGAAUAUUGGACAAUGGGCGAAAGCCUGAUCCAGCCAUGCCGCGUGUGUGAAGAAGGUCUUCGGAUUGUAAAGCACUUUAAGUUGGGAGGAAGGGCAGUAAGUUAAUACCUUGCUGUUUUGACGUUACCAACAGAAUAAGCACCGGCUAACUUCGUG